rnacentral:rRNA from 1 species
AGAGUUUGAUCCUGGCUCAGGAUGAACGCUGGCGGCGUGCCUUAAGCAUGCAAGUCGAACGGCCCGCAAGGGCAGUGGCAGACGGGUGAGUAACACGUAGGAAUCUACCUCAAAAUGGGGGAUAGCCAGCCGAAAGGUUGGGUAAUACCGCAUGUGAUCGCGAGAUUAAAGCAGCAAUGCGUUUUGAGAGGAGCCUGCGUCCUAUCAGCUAGUUGGUGAGGUAAUAGCUUACCAAGGCAAUGACGGGUAGCCGAUGUGAGAGCAUGAUCGGCCACAAGGUUACUGAGACACGGAACCUACACCUACGGGUGGCAGCAACUGGGAAUCUUGCGCAAUGGACGAAAGUCUGACGCAGCGACACCGCGUGUGGGAUGAAGCCCUUAGGGGUGUAAACCACUGUGGCGAGGGAUGAAUUAAUGACAGUACCUCGCUAGAAAGCACUUGCUAACCACGUGCCAGAAGCCUCGGUAAUACGUGGAGUGCGAGCGUUAUCCGGAUUUACUGGGCGUAAAGCGUACCGCAGGUGAUCUUGUAAGUUUUUUGUCCAAGCCUGGAGCUCAACUCCAGAUCGGCAGAGAAUACUACGAGAAUUGAGUCUGUUCGGGGAACUUGGAAUUCUCGGUGGAGGGGUGAAAUCCGUAGAUAUCGAGAGGAACGCCAAGCGCGAAGGCAGGGUUCUAGAACACGACUGACACUCAUGGACGAAAGCUAGGGGAGCAAAAGGGAUUAGAGACCCCUGUAGUCCUAGCCGUAAACACUGGAUGCUAGUUGCUUCACUUCGGUGGAGUGACGUAAGCUAACGCGUUAAGCAUCCCGCCUGGGAAGUACGACCGCAAGGUUAAAACUCAAAGGAAUUGACGGGGGAGCGCACAACCGGUGGAGCAUGUUGUUUAAUUCGAUACGAAGCGAAAAACCUUACCAAGAUUUGACAU